rnacentral:rRNA from 1 species
UACGGGGGGGGCAAGCGUUGUUCGGAAUUACUGGGCGUAAAGGGCGCGUAGGCGGUUUGCUAAGUUGGAUGUGAAAACUCUGGGCUUAACCCAGAGCCUGCAUCCAAAACUGGCAAACUUGAGUACUGGAGGGGAAAGCGGAAUUCCUGGUGUAGCGGUGAAAUGCGCAGAUAUCAGGAGGAACACCGGUGGCGAAGGCGGGUCUCUGGGCCGAUACUGACGCUGAGGAGCGAAAGCGUGGGGAGCGAACAGG